rnacentral:rRNA from 1 species
UACGUAGGGUCCGAGCGUUGUCCGGAAUUAUUGGGCGUAAAGAGCUCGUAGGCGGCUUGGCAAGUCGGGUGUGAAACCUCCAGGCUCAACCUGGAGACGCCACCCGAUACUGCCAUGGCUAGAGUCCGGUAGGGGACCACGGAAUUCCUGGUGUAGCGGUGAAAUGCGCAGAUAUCAGGAGGAACACCGGUGGCGAAGGCGGUGGUCUGGGCCGGAACUGACGCUGAGGAGCGAAAGCGUGGGGAGCGAACAGG